rnacentral:rRNA from 1 species
UACGUAGGGCGCAAGCGUUAUCCGGAAUUAUUGGGCGUAAAGAGCUCGUAGGCGGUUUGUCGCGUCUGCCGUGAAAGUCCGGGGCUCAACUCCGGAUCUGCGGUGGGUACGGGCAGACUAGAGUGCAGUAGGGGAGACUGGAAUUCCUGGUGUAGCGGUGAAAUGCGCAGAUAUCAGGAGGAACACCGAUGGCGAAGGCAGGUCUCUGGGCCACUACUGACGUGAGAAGCGAAAGCAUGGGGAGCGAACAGGAUUAGAACUACCGUAGUCAAGUCC